CCUACGGGUGGCAGCAGUGAGGAAUAUUGGUCAAUGGGCGCGAGCCUGAACCAGCCAAGUCGCGUGAAGGAUGACGGCCCUACGGGUUGUAAACUUCUUUUAUCAAGGAAUAAAGUGAGCCACGUGUGCCUUUCGGUAUGUACUUUAUGAAAAAGGAUCGGCUAACUCCGUGCCAGCAGCCGCGGUAAUCCGGAGGUUCCGGGCGUUAUCCGGAUUUAUUGGGUUUAAAGGGAGCGUAGGUGGGAAGUUAAGUCAGUUGUGAAAGUUUGCGGCUUAACCGGUGAAGUGCAAUUGAUACUGGCUGUCUGGAGUGCGGGUGAGGUAGGCGGAAUGCGUGGUGUAGCGGUGAAAUGCAUAGAUAUCACGAAGAACUCCGAUUGCGAAGGCAGCUUACGAAACCGCCACUGACGCUGAUGCACGAAAGUGUGGGUAUCAAACAGGAUUAGAUACCCGUGUAGUC
rnacentral:rRNA from 1 species